GCCGGGCAUGGUGGCUCAUGCCUGUAAUCCCAGCACUUUGGGAGGCUGAGGCAGGUGGAUCACCUGAGGUCAGGAGUUUGAGACCAGCCUGGCCAACAUGGUGAAAUCCUGCCUCUA
rfam:Homo sapiens chromosome 6, GRCh38 reference primary assembly.